CAGGGGAAACCUGACGCUUGACGCCGCGUGAGUGAUGAAGGCCUUAGGGUCGUAAAGCUCUGUUGAAUGGGAAGAAACAAAUGACGGUACCAUUCGAGAAAGGAUCGGCUAACUUCGUGCCAGCAGCCGCGGUAAGACGAGGGAUCCUAGCGUUGUUCGGAAUCAUUGGGCGUAAAGCGUGUGUAGGCGGCCAUUCAAGUCAGUUGUGAAAGCCCCGGGCUUAACCCGGGAAGUGCUUCUGAUACUGUUUGGCUUGAGUACUGGAGAGGAUAGUAGAAUUCCAGGUGUAGUGGUGAAAUACGUAGAUAUCUGGAGGAAUACCGGUGGCGAAGGCGGCUAUCUGGCCAUGUACUGACGCUGAGACACGAAAGCGUGGGGAGCAAACAGGAUUAGAUACCCUGGUAGUCCACGCCGUAAACGAUGGAUACUUGGUGUUGGAGGUAUUGACCCCUUCAGUGCCGAAGCAAACGCGUUAAGUAUCCCGCCUGGGGAGUACGGUCGCAAGAUUAAAACUCAAAGAAAUUGACGGGGGCCCGCACAAGCGGUGGAGCAUGUGGUUUAAUUCGAUGCAACGCGAAAAACCUUACUGGGCUCGAAGUGUAGAGGAAGACAGCAGAGAUGUUGCCACCUUCGGGUCUCUAUAU
rnacentral:rRNA from 1 species